CAUGCCGGGCUCCUCGGCCCGCGCCCCUCUCCCUCCCCUCCGGUCGCAACCCCCUUGCCUCGCACGCUCGCCAUAUCCAGGCAACAAAUUGGUCGGGUCCUGUAUUGACGCCGCAGGGGCAUCAGUUGUACACCAUCAUCAACCAGGUCAUGAAAAUGGAUGGAUGUGAUAGUAAAGGAAACAGAGGGUGAUACUGCUGUAUCAGCAAUGGUGUUGAUAUUUUGUACAGAGGUUGAAGAAAAAAAUGAGGAAGAUACUAAAAGGCGCAUAGAUGAGUAACACUGAU